GCAUUUCAAUUUUCCUAUUUCCUUUUUUUGGAGAGGGGUGUCUAAAAUGACGUGAGGCACUUUGGAGUCUGGCAUGAGUUGACCACUAUAUCAAAAUUUGAACGCCGUCUUUUGCAUCAAAAAUUACCUGGCGCAAGUGGAGGUAGGUAGCUAGCUUUCCCUAAGCUCGAAAACUGCAUAUCCCCUUCAGAUAGUUCACUGGCCUGAACACGUUAGAGUGGCUUGUUGUUGGCCAUGAGUGCACAUACAUCACAGAGAGAAGGCAAAAGAGCAAUAGAAUUUUCUGGGUUAUUUAAAAUCCAAUGUGACAGACCUUUUAUGGACAAGGGCUAUGCGCUUGUCUAACUGCUUUAGAGAGCUUCAUUGUUGUGGGGUGAUAUAUGGGCAGACUGCUGUCAAGCUCUCACUGUGUGUUCUUUUUCAGACUUUUGUGUGGGACACUGUUGCCACUGUUUGGCAGGUUUUACAAUUUGUUUCUUUUUCGACUUCUUUUGUCGCCAACUUCUGUCACGCUUUGUCACUUAACUCAGUUUGUACUUCUUUUCCAGGCUUUUCUGUGGCACACUGUUGUCACGCUUUGGCAAGUUUUCACUCUGUGCUUCUUGUUCAGGUUUUUGUGUGGAAGACUGUUAUCAUGUUUUGGCAAGUUUUCAUUCUGUGCUUAUUUUUCAGGCUUUUUUAGCAAGCUUCUGCCAUACUUUGUCACUUCUCUCAGUUUGUGCAUCUUUUUCAGAUUUUUGUGUGACAUACUGUUGGAACGUUUUAGCAAGCUUUCACUCCACAUUUUUACAUAGCAUAUUAUUGUUUCAAUUCGCUAUGUCUCUCUCUGUGCUUCUUUUUCAGGCUUUUUGAAGCAAACAUCAGUCACGCCUUUUCCUAUAUCUCACUUUGUGUUUUUUUCAGGCUUUUAUGUAGCACGUGGCUGUUAUGAUUAAUCUAGUCUCACUCUGUGCUUCUUUUUCAGACUUUUGUGUGGUAUAUUGCUGUGUAAACCCAAAAGAAGGCCAAAAACUUGUCAACAGAUCAUUUCUUUGAUAUGUCAUGUGACAUCCCUCACACUUUAACCGCUCAUCUUCAUCACCCAUUUGUCGCCUUUUGGUCACCCCUCACAUCCAUCAUCACCUUCAUCAUCUACACAUCCCCCCAAAAAAAUGAACUUUGAGCAGCCAUCGAUGCCGGCAACCGAGAUGACACUGACCCAUAUCCAACCUGUGACACUGAAGGUGAUGACAAUACCUCAGUUGUGGCCAAGAGUGAAAGCAAUAUGCCUGUCUAUGGUGCCAAUCAUAAAAGGAGUGAAAAAAAGGAAGUGCAUCUCAUCAAAGUGACCAGCUGAAUGCCAUUAACACCUGCCAGAGCACCAGCGAGGCAACAUAGAUGAUACAGACCAGGAUCCAACCUAUGAAACUGAAGAUGAUGACAGUAUCUCAGUUGUGGGUGAAAGUGUAAGCAACGCUGGCAAUGCAAAAUUCAGAACAAGUGAAGAAAAUGUCAAUAAAAUUGAAGGAUGAAUUAUUAUUUUGUAUUGGCACAAAUAGUGAAUAGUAAUUGAUGCCCACUCUAAAAGCAUUACUUGAAAUUAAAUUUCUACAUUCACUUCAACAUAGUUCCUUGUCAUGAAGAUGCCACAAGUAGGCGCCAAAGUAAUACCUUGAUUGACUUACCAUAAAACAUAUAAUUAAAGAAAUGUGGCCCCUGAAGUCAAUUCG